rnacentral:rRNA from 1 species
UACGUAGGGGGCAAGCGUUGUCCGGAUUUAUUGGGCGUAAAGGGCGCGCAGGCGGCGCUUCAAGUCCGUUGUGAAAUUUCAGGGCUUAACCCUGACGGGUCAACGGAAACUGAAGGGCUAGAGUGCAGCAGAGGAAAGCGGAAUUCCCGGUGUAGUGGUGAAAUGCGUAGAUAUCGGGAGGAACACCAGAGGCGAAAGCGGCUUUCUGGGCUGUAACUAACGCUGAGGCGCGAAGGCUAGGGGAGCAAACAGG